GACAUGCUUGGAGAGGAGACCUUGACAGAGGAGGAAGGGAGACAUCUCUUGUGAGAGAUGCUCAGCCAGCCCUGCUGGACCUGCAGGCUCUCCUACAGCCAGGCAGCCGAGCCAGGAGAGCUCUUGCACUUUCUGGACUGUUUUUUUGGCCUUUUGUGGCUGCUGUCUGUGGAGUUGGUGAGAGCAGAAAUGUUCUCCUGGGACAGGGCAAAGCCUGGUGCUGACUGAGGUUCCUGGACAGCCAGAUAGAUCCUGCUGCCUAUCAACCCCAUUACCCAAACCCCAGUAAACUCAGGGUUUUCAGCUUCCCGCAGCUCUCCCCAGACAGGAGACUCGCACACAGAUGUUUGCCAGCUGUGUUAAAGCACCACAGCUCCUGGGUUUAACUGCAAGGCUGUGGAAGUGUCUGCUGCUGGUGCCUGCUGGGCUUUCGCCUUCUGUUUUCUGCGGAUUCGACUUCCUCGGACUGGAGCCGUCCGUACCAGGGAGGCUCUGAAUUCUCAGGUGUGGAAGAUGCUGCAGUCUGGAGGGACAAGGAGGGCAAACGCAGGAGGAGAGCGAAGCUAAGGGACAGCAGAUCGGUGAUGAAGCCAGGACGUGACCCUGAGCUGUGUCUCUGCUUCCAGCUGCCUGCUCUGGCCCAGCUGCCGGCGUGGGAGUCUCCUGCUCACGCCUUGGAGCUGAGCUCCCUGAGGACCCCGAGGGCUCCGUACCCCAGAGUCGCACCCAGGGCUCAGGCAGAGCAGCCGGGGGAGCAGACCCCAGCCCCGGUUUGGGAGCCUGGUCCCGCUGCCAGCGCUGGAGGGGGAGCGGGCGGUGCUUCCAGGCAGCCGCCCCCACAUCCCCGCCCAUCCAGGCAGCGCUGUUGGAUUUCCCCGAGCAGCCUGAGAGCCCCCAGUGCCCAGAGCGCCCGUUCUGCGCCAGGGUCCCGCUGUCUGUGAUGUGCCAGACGUGGCCGAGAUGUCCGAGGAGCCGGGCAGGCUCUUAUCAGCCGCUCGCACUGUCUCAGAACCCUUCUGCUGAGCGCCUUUUGUCCCCUAAUAAACUGAUAAACCCCCGUAAUCCGCUGGUGGCUGAUGGCAGGGCAGCCCGCGGUCCUCUGCCAGCACAGAUAAGGCAGCUCCGUGCCAGCAGGGAUCCGCCAGCAGCCGGGAAAGGCGGGAUGGGGCUGAUCCAGCCGUCCCUGGCUUGCGCUGGGAGAGGGGAUGGGAUUGGUGACAGAGCGGUGAGGGUGGACUUGUCCAGCC